rnacentral:rRNA from 1 species
UACGGGGGGGGCUAGCGUUGUUCGGAAUUAUUGGGCGUAAAGAGCUCGUAGGCGGUUCGGUAAGUCGGGUGUGAAACCUCCAGGCUCAACCUGGAGACGCCACCCGAUACUGCUGUGACUAGAGUCCGGUAGGGGAGCGUGGAGUUCCUGGUGUAGCGGUGAAAUGCGCAGAUAUCAGGAGGAACACCAGCGGCGAAGGCGGCGCUCUGGGCCGGAACUGACGCUGAGGAGCGAAAGCAUGGGGAGCGAACAGG